GCCGUGGAAACCAAGGACUUAAACUCCAGAUUCUCCCUGAUCCGUUUACUGGCUUCUCGUAAAUGAAGUUUUCUUCUAGUCCUCUGUUUUAACAAACUACCCUCUCAGAGAUGGCUGAAGAAUCCCUUUUUCAACGAGCCAAGCAGCAGAGAAAUACUGAAACUUACAGGAAGAACUGCAGUCUUGCAACCUACAGGCUAUUAAGGAACGGCACAGGAAAAGCAGAUGCUGCACAACUCUCCUGCCUGA